UCCCAGUUAGUACAAUGGUCAGUAUAGGGCACUCUCAUGCGGUUAGCAUAUAGUACUGCUCAGAUCAGGGUUCGAUUCCCUGGCCGGGAA
rnacentral:tRNA from 1 species